rnacentral:rRNA from 1 species
AGAGUUUGAUCCUGGCUCAGGAUGAACGCUGGCGGCGUGCUUAACACAUGCAAGUCGAACGAAGCACUCUAUUUGAUUUUCUUCGGAAAUGAAGAUUUUGUGACUGAGUGGCGGACGGGUGAGUAACGCGUGGGUAACCUGCCUCAUACAGGGGGAUAACAGUUGGAAACGACUGCUAAUACCGCAUAAGCGCACAGGAUCGCAUGAUCCGGUGUGAAAAACUCCGGUGGUAUGGGAUGGACCCGCGUCUGAUUAGCCAGUUGGCAGGGUAACGGCCUACCAAAGCGACGAUCAGUAGCCGACCUGAGAGGGUGACCGGCCACAUUGGGACUGAGACACGGCCCAAACUCCUACGGGAGGCAGCAGUGGGGAAUAUUGCACAAUGGGGGAAACCCUGAUGCAGCGACGCCGCGUGAGCGAAGAAGUAUUUCGGUAUGUAAAGCUCUAUCAGCAGGGAAGAAGAAUGACGGUACCUGACUAAGAAGCACCGGCUAAAUACGUGCCAGCAGCCGCGGUAAUACGUAUGGUGCAAGCGUUAUCCGGAUUUACUGGGUGUAAAGGGAGCGCAGGCGGUGCGGCAAGUCUGAUGUGAAAGCCCGGGGCUCAACCCCGGUACUGCAUUGGAAACUGUCGUACUAGAGUGUCGGAGGGGUAAGUGGAAUUCCUAGUGUAGCGGUGAAAUGCGUAGAUAUUAGGAGGAACACCAGUGGCGAAGGCGGCCUACUGGGCUUUAACUGACGCUGAGGCACGAAAGUGUGGGUAGCAAACAGGAUUAGAUACCCUGGUAGUCCACACUGUAAACGAUGAUUACUAGGUGUGGGGGGUCUAACCCCCUCCGUGCCGGAGUUAACACAAUAAGUAAUCCACCUGGGGAGUACGACCGCAAGGUUGAAACUCAAAGGAAUUGACGGGGGCCCGCACAAGCAGUGGAGUAUGUGGUUUAAUUCGACGCAACGCGAAGAACCUUACCAGGUCUUGACAUCCAACUAACGAAGCAGAGAUGCAUUAGGUGCCCUUCGGGGAAAGUUGAGACAGGUGGUGCAUGGUUGUCGUCAGCUCGUGUCGUGAGAUGUUGGGUUAAGUCCCGCAACGAGCGCAACCCUUGUGAUUAGUUGCUACGCAAGAGCACUCUAAUCAGACUGCCGUUGACAAAACGGAGGAAGGUGGGGACGACGUCAAAUCAUCAUGCCCUUUAUGACCUGGGCUACACACGUACUACAAUGGUCGUUAACAGAGGGAAGCAAUACCGCGAGGUGGAGCAAAACCCUAAAAACGGUCUCAGUUCAGAUUGUAGGCUGCAACUCGCCUACAUGAAGUUGGAAUUGCUAGUAAUCGCGGAUCAGCAUGCCGCGGUGAAUACGUUCCCGGGCCUUGCACUCACAGCCCGUCA